CAAACCAUAAAUAUGUAUAUAUGUGUAUUACGGCCUAUCAAAACAUUUAUAACCGAACACCGCUCAUAAUCGAUUUUCAUUAGCAAUGGUUAGUCGUACAAAUCGAAAACAUUGAAUUUCCUCUCUACUUCCCAAAUUCUAACCUACAACAGCGGCCCACUGAUAACUGAACUGAUAACAGAAAGAGAUGGGUCCGCGGGCCCACAUUGUUAGAACCGUAACUGGAGGCGUACAGUUUAGGACGUUUAGGGCCAUGACGGGUCCGGGUGUUGGCUAUCUGCAUUUUCUAAUAAUGUCUGUAACUAUAGGCAAACCAUACGGCGCAGGGUAAUAUUGGAAAAGCUUCGUCCGUGUUAUAAUAUUAUACUAAUAUGUGUAUAUGGUGUACACACGUGUCCCGCACAACGGACUGCGGAUUUCUAUGGAAAUCGUGUCAAACCGUCCGUACUAUUAUUUUAUCGAGUUCAAUCGUAUCACAUGUACUAUAUUAUGUAUUAAGUACGCGUUGCACAACUCGAGUGUUAUUAAAUUAUUGUUAUUAUUAUUAUAGCUCGUUCGGUUUGGAAUAGGAUAAACAUUUGUGUUGCUAUAUUCAAUAUUCGUUAAAUUUAAUAGUUCCCUAUAAAAUAUUCCCGGUGCGCGAGAAAUGACGCAGUAUUGCGAGGUUGAAAAUUCGAAUAAAACGUAAUUUAUUAUAUUUAGGACGACGCGACAAUUGCGUCGUUUCGCAGUAGGUCGUAUUUUAUUACUAUAUAGACCGAGAUGGAAACGUGUUUUCCAAAUUUCCGACCGUAAGAUUAGGAAGAAACAAAGGGGGGGGGGAAAGGAGAGGAGUUUCCUCCCUCCCGAGAAUCGUUUUAUAGUUACGCCAAAAAUCGUUGCCGAACGUUCCUAUAUACGCGCACACCGUAUACCCGCGGCGUAUCUGAACGUAACAGACGCGGAUUUACCGCGCGCGUAAACCCGACCGAAACGA